AAAGUUUACUCACCUGUGUGCACCCGAGGGGAAGGCAUUAACGGACGCACCUGCUCUUUAUUUGGGAUAAAGUCGGCAAAACGCAUUGGUAGCGCGACAAGCAAAGGGUCAAAUCUACACCAAGUGCUUCUGGAACUGUGCUGUGAUUGUGUACUGAAAAGUAGACUCUGAACGGACAGCCGGUUUUUCACCUGUAAAUGCCUGGCUUGAGGAAAGCGAAGAUAAAAUAAAAAAGG